GCGCCUUACAGAGAAGGAGGAGGUACUUAUGAGCUUUGGAUUGGCAGGAUGAUACACCUUAUGGUGUAUCAUCACCUUAUGAUGGUGAGGGAUAAAAAGCAGGGAGCAAACAAGGAGGAAAUCGAAGCUUCUGGUUUUGAAGUUUGAGUCAUGGUGAUGCCAUGUAACUAGGCUGUGACGUACGUGGAAAGGGUGGUGGGGAGAAGCUCGCAUGCCGUGUUAGAGCUGUUCAGCUUACCCACGAUGGAACAUUUAAAGGGAAGAUACACAGGAAGUAAUUGAAAAUCUGUGUCUUAAGCGCAGAAGAAGAGUCUGGGUUGGUGUGGUUGAUUUUGUAGUCUUUUAAGAAGAUGAGAGUUAGGUAAAGAGAAUGAAGAAAAGGAGUCUAAGAAUAAGCCUCUGGGGGAUUACUGGACGAGACGAACUAGUACAAGACGUGGUUCAGAAGAGUUGUUUAUGUGGUAGAAAGGCGAUGAUGUGACAGUGACAACCCCAAACUCCAGAGGCAUUUCCCAGGACUCCCUGACGGUGGCAGUGUUGUUUACAAGUCAGUGACGAGUCCAAGAAAUUGGGCACCUGCUAGGGGAAUGAUUUAAGAAGCAUGGCUUUGUGCUACCAAACUGAGCAAGCAUAUGAUGAGGAAUGAGGAUUCGUUUGAGCCCACGAUAUAACUAAAUGCCCCCAGAGCCAUCCACUCCAUUGUGUAUAUGAAGUGCAAAAAUAAAGGAUGAAAUCUAAAAUGCUCGUGUCAACAGAAAUGUAUGGAUGAAGGUGGCAAUGUAAAUCCUAUUUCAAAUAGGCUCAAUUCCAGAUAAUUACUUAAUACGAGCUUACUACCCACAAUGCCUUAGGGUCUAUGAGUUAUCCACCGAC
rnacentral:lncRNA from 1 species